rnacentral:lncRNA from 1 species
CACACCUGGAAACCCCCAAAAGCAAGACAUGGAGAAACGCAAACACACAGGACUGAGAGAAGCCAACACACUAUGCUCAAGCUCCAAGGUACUAUAGGAGGAGGAGGCCUUGCAGGAUGCCCUCACUUGGUCAGAACCACAGAAAGCACAACACCAAGGCAGCUGUGUCCUCCUCGUUAGUGACUAGGUACCAGCACAGGCCCACCAGUGUGAGACAUUCGUGGGCAGAAGGGUGCACACAAAUGGACAGCUUCUGUUGGUUCCAUUCAGUAAACCUAAAACUGAUCAUGUGACAAGGGAGCUGAGGCUCAGAGCACAGGGUUCAAAGUCCAGCCUGUUUGCUGCCUUAGCAAACUGCAGAGGGCUGGCUAGGGCUAGUGCUUGCUACCUCCAGCCUCUCUGGCACGGCUGGAGGGCUUAGGUUAACUCCAUGUUGUUCCUUGGGGAGAUGGGGUUUCACUAUGUUUCCCAAGCUGCCCUCAAACCCUGGGCUCAAGCAAUCCUCCUCCCACAUCAGCCUGCUGAGCAGCUGGGACUUAGGCUCCAUGUAUUUUGUAUUGAAAACAUUCUACUUGGGAGGAUGAAGCAGGAAGAUCCUAAGUUCGAGGCCAGCCCCAGCAACUGGUCUCAAAACUUUUUAAAAGGGGUGGGAUGUAGCUCUGUGGUAGGUAGAGUGCUUGCCUACAUGCAUGAGGCUACAUGUUCAAUUUCCCAAUACUGAAAAUAAAUAAAUGAAUAAAUGAAGCAAGCAUUCCAGACCCAGCUACCAGAUCUCCUGCCUCCUGGACAUGCUUACAGGGUCUGUCUUUCUUCACCGUGACGUCCAUAGCUAUGUUGGCAACAAGGGACCCACAAUUAAGGAGACACAUCAUCAUGACCACCCUGGAUACACCUGGGAGCAGGAGGUGGAGAACAGUGGAGCAGGACGCAGGUGUUAAGUCAAAUGUCCCCAAACAUAAACACUGCUUGAAAGUUCUUCAAAUCUUGCAGACUUCUGCUGCAUGCAGAGGGUGACAGUGCUGUCACCACAGAGCCCUGACAGCCCACCCAACGUCUGCUCCAUAGAUGCCCAAGGGAAACUCCUGCAAGAGCCCAGGAACAGUGUGGGGAGUGAAAGGCCCCUAGAGCUCAGAGUCCAACACCCAAAUACCCGCAACCAGGUGCGAAGAUGGGACAGAUGCUUCAUCCCUCAUGAGGGGCAGCCCUGGAACAGGACGCAGCACAAAGAGGAAGAAGCUACACAUCAGGCUUGGGCCAACACUUGCCUCGUAGGUGACGAAGUCGUAGAACUCAUCAGCGCAGGUUGAGGAAUCCUCAUCCUGGGCAGGCACCACGCUGGGCAGCUGGCUGUUGGACUCUGUGGAUACAAGACCCAGCACUGGUGAGACCACUGGAGCCUCCGGAGGUGCAAGGUGCCACGCAGUCAGGAGUAGGGAGGGUCUGGAGUUUGCUGUGGGGGAAGCAAGAGGGGAGAGGCCAGCAGGGCGAGAUUGGAGGCCACAUCCCCAGGAAGUGGGGUUCCACCAAAGUCUGGGCACUGGUGUCAGGGAAGAACAGCAGAACUUCACUCCUCAUAAAAACCAAAGGCCACUGCCAAAGAAAAAGAGCAAGGCACCAAGCCCUUCAGACUCUACAGAAUGCCAGGUACUAAUAAUCCAGACUUAGGAGCCAAACCCCUGGUGACAGGGGAGGCACGGGCUCCAUGAACCAGCACAGGACACACCCAUCCUGCAGCUGAACUCAUAGGCAGUUUACAUUCCCCUCUUCUACUUGACUAUCUUCCAAAAUGCACAUUUCCUUUCAUAGACAAAACUCAUGAGGGACAGACAGAAUUCACUGCUCUUCAAACACAUGGAUCCCACUGCACUUGCCUGCCUCCUUCCAUGGGAACUGAGGCAGAGGCAGGACACACAGGGCAAGAGGCAGCAAGGCAGCUUCUGCCUCCUGGUGUCAAGAUACAUCAACCACUCACUCAGCAUCUUCACCAUGACCCACCUGACACCAGCCACAUAUGGAAAAAGCAGAGUCGAGUCUCUCAAGUGCCAAGUUCUCCUGGGAGAAGCUCUGAAAUAGGAUGGCUUCCUGCAGCUAGGCUGGAGGGACCAAAGAAGGUUCCUGCUGUGAUCUGGACCACGUGGGUGAGUAUCACAUAGUUGCCACAACCCAAAAGGUCUGGGUUAAUGGGGAAGCAAGGAUGGGCAUCCAUGGAGCAGAAGGGCAUGCUACUGCCCCAUCCAGUUUCUAGAUGUCUCUCAAUAAAAAUCAUGACAAUUAUUUCCUGACAGUGUGCAAACUAAAACCUUCACACACGUGGCAACUCAUGCUGUUGUCCUCUGUGGUUUUCAAGAAUCACAAGUCUUCUUGGGGCUGAAUGAAGCAUUCUGGGGUGUAUGACUGAACCUCUGGGGAGCCAGGAGUAACAAGGUCUCAAGUCCAGCCUUGCUUGGCUCUUCAGGCAGACCCGGCCCUACCCCACCAUAAUGGCCAAGGUUCCCACACUGGUGUAAGUUGGUUGUAGCAAGCUGCAGCAGAACUACUCAAGCUCAUGACGCAGAUGCCACUGGCACAGAUGGGACCAUUAGAAUUCUGCAGCACAGGAGGGCCCAUCUUCCCAGGGCAACGGGACUGCACACUUGGUCACAGGUCAGAUUGCUGCUGGCAGGUUGCCACCAUUGGAUGCUGGAGUGCUUGCACUUCUUAAACGGAAAUUCAGAACUCAGAAGUGUCAGACAGCCAGCACUCCAGCACCUGGACACGUGAUUCAGUUGGCACCCAACCUCAGAGUCCCAGGGAGACCUGAGCACAGCUUGUAUUGUUUGUAUCCUCAUAUCAGCUAUCUCUGU